UGCCGUUUCGUCUUCUUGUUAACAUUUCAUUUCAUUUUGUAAUUCCCAUCUCCCUCCCUAUCAAAUUCCAUCUCUCUUCUCUUUGAAACCCUAAAUCACCAUGGGAGAAUCUAUGCCUCCUCGUCGCAAUUCCGUUCAUCAAGCUCUCGGAGGUGGCCAUGUUGCUGAUGUGCUCCUGUGGAAGAAAUGGAGUGGAGGAGUUUUACUGCUGACCUCUACGACGGCGUCGUGGUUGCUGUUUGAGCGAGCUGGCUACAAUCUCUUGUCCUUUGUGGCUAAUGUUCUACUGCUACUUGUAGUCAUCCUCUUCCUCUGGGCCAAAUCGGCUUCUCUUCUCAACAGACCUUUGCCUCCUCUCCCCGAUAUGGAAAUCUCAGAGGCUAAUGUAGUGAAGGCUGCUGAGGCACUGCAUGCUGGGAUUAAUCGUGGAUUGUCUAUUGCACGAGACAUUGCUAUUGGGAGAAAUUGGAAACUCUUCCUUCAGGUCGCUUUCUGCUUGUGGCUAGCUUCUUACAUCGGAAGUUUCUUCAACUUCCUUACUCUUGUCUACAUUGGGGUUCUCCUAAGUCUUUCAGUGCCCAUGUUGUAUGAUAAGUAUCAGGACCACAUUGAUGAUAAGCUGCAUGUAGCAAACAGAGUAAUACAAGCACAGUACAGGAAAAUUGAUGGUAGCAUCCUAAAGAAAAUUCCUUUGCGGUCAAACAAGGAGAAGAAGCUACAGUAGGCACUGGUGGAAUUAAUUCAGGCCAUAUUUGUUAUAUAUGCUGGUUUGCUGAAUCUAUGUGCACAGUGGAUUUGAAGGAUGUGAUUAGUGUUUUCAGGGUAUUAUGGAGCGACGAAAAGUGUGAUGACGGCCUUUUAUAGAUGGUUUCGAACAUUCCGAGUAGCGUACUUGGGUUAUAUUUUUGUUGACAUGGAGCGACGAAAAGUGUGAUAACGGCAUAGUUGACAAGAUUUGGGUGGAUCCUGUGAGUGUCUACAUUGUUUCUGGCUCUGGACCUUAUUAUAUUGUUGGGUGGAUCUUGGUGGUUAAAACUUUACGUCUCUAUGGGAUGAAAGAGAAACUUAAAUCAUUCUAAUGAAAUAUAGAAUGUUUUUGCUUGCCU